UGAUUCGUUGGUGACACAUUCUUAUCAAAAUAUAACAAAUUCUCACCUAACUACUCAGAACCUUUAUUUUCUACUAGCUCAAUUACAUGAAAGAUGAAAAAAUCUCUGAAAGAUGAAUGGAUUUUGCUUAAA
rfam:Populus trichocarpa isolate Nisqually-1 chromosome 6, whole genome shotgun sequence.